GGUUUGAUCAUGGCUCAGAUUGAACGCUGGCGGGAUGCUUUACACAUGCAAGUCAGACGGCAGCACGGACUUCGGUCUGGUGGCGAGUGGCGAACAGGUGAGUAAUGUAUCGGAACGUGCCUAGUAGCGGGGAUAACUACGCGAAAGCGUAGCUAAUACCACGCUACGCCCUUCGGGGGAAAGCGGGGGACCUUCGGGCCUCGCACUAUUAGAGCGGCCGAUAUCGGAUUAGCUAGUUGGUGGGGUAACGGCUCACCAAGGCGACGAUCCGUAGCUGGUUUGAGGGGACGACCAGCCACACUGGGACUGAGACACGGCCCAGACUCCUACGAGGCAGCGGUGGAGAUUUGGACAAUGGGGAAACCCUGAUCCAGCCAUCCCGCGUGUGUGAUGAAGGCCUUCCGGGUUGUAAAGCACUUUUGGCAGGAAAGAAACUUUGGCCUGGGAUAAUACCCCGUGCAACUGACGAAGGCCUGCAGAAUAAGCACCGGCUAACUACGUACCAGCAACCGCGGUAAUACGUAAGGUGCAAGCGUUAAUCAGGUACUGGGCGUAAAGCGUGCGCAGGCAGUUUGAAGAAAGAUGUGAAAUCCCAGAGCUUAACUUUUGGAACUGCAUUUUUAACUACCGAGCUAGAGUGUGUCAGAGGAGGUGGAAUUCCGCGUGUAGCAGUGAAAUGCGUAGAUAUGCGGAGGAACACCGAUGGCGAAGGCAGCCUCUGGGAUAACACUGACGCUCAUGCACGAAAAGCGUGGGGAGCAAACGGGAUUGGGUACCCUGGUAGUCCACGCCCUAAACGAUGUCAACUAGCUGUUGGGGCCUUCGGGCCUUGGUAUACCAGCUAACGCGUGAAGUUGACCGCCUGGAGUACGGUCGCAAGGUCAUCAAAGGAAUUGAGCGGGGACCCGCACAAGCGGUGGAUGAUGUGGAUUAAUUCGAUGCAACGCGAAAAACCUUACCCUUGACAUGUGGAAUCCCGAAGAGAUUUGGGAGUGCUCGCAAGAGAACCGGAACACAGGUGCUGCAUGGCUGUCGUCAGCUCAUUAAUCGUGAGAUGUUGGGUUAAGUCCCGCAACGAGCGCAACCCUUGUCGUGGAUUGCUACGAAGGGCACUCUAAUGAGACUGCCGGUGACAAACCGGAGGAAGGUGGGGAUGACGUCAAGUCCUCAUGGCCCUUAUGGGUAGGGCUUCACACGUCAUACAAUGGUCGGGACAGAGGGUCGCCAACCCGCGAGGAGCCAAUCCCAGAAACCCGAUCGUAGUCGGAUCGCAGUCUGCGGCUCGACUGCGUGAAGUCAGAAUCGCUAGUAAUCGCGGAUCAGCAUGUCGCGGUGAAUACGUUCCGGGUCUUGUACACACCGCCCGUCACACCAUGAGAGUGGGUUUUACCGAAGUAGUUAGCCUAACCGUAAGGAGGGCAGUGCAGUAGGAUUCAUGACUGGGGUGAAGUCGUAACAAGGUAA
rnacentral:rRNA from 1 species